rnacentral:tRNA from 1 species
GGGGAUUUAGCUCAGUGGUAGAGCGCUUGCCUAGCAAGUGCAAGGCCCUGAGUUCGGUCCUCAGCUCCG